CAGCAGGGCUCCUUAGAUCACACAUCUGGCACCAACUGGGCUGACCCAGGCCCUGGUUCCUUCCAUGCAGCCCUUCAUGGAUGCUACAGUAGUAUGGGCAAUUUAGCAGGUCCUAUCUCAAAAUAUUAGGGGUGACAGUAUAACUCAGUGGGAGAAUACCAGCUAUGCCCUACACUUAAUAUCCAGCAGACACAGACACACACACACACAGAGAGAGAGAGAGAGAGAGAGAGAGAGAGAGAGAGAGAGAGAGAGAUCUGAGCCUGGCUCUCUUUAUUGGCCACUGUAGAAGUAGAAAACCAGACUGUUUAAGAUCAAACAGGAGGGUCAGGUAGGGCCAGAACUCUUUUCUCCAGGGUUGCCCACCAGGGCUCCUCCAAUGCCCUGCUCCCUGAGGGCUCCAACCCACCUGCUUGUGACUCUUCCAACUCAGAGCAAUCCUUCUCACCUCUGGGUUGGCAUCACUCACUGAAAAGCUUUAGCAGACCCACAGCUAGCUCUGUUCUGAUUUCAAGCAAUGCCCAUGGGCAACCAGGUGCUGCCUCACUGAUCUGGAGGUGCAAGGCAAGCCUCAGGCAGAAUGCCUGCCUUCCUUACCAGAGUCAGGAAUCCAAAUGGCCAGAGAGGGACUGUUCCAGGCAAGUGCAUGAACACGGCUAUUAUCCAGAGAACGAGAAGGACCCAGAAAAUUAGAACAGACUGCCAGAGUUAGUUUAAGGCCAAGUAGAGCAAUUCAGUCCAAAGCUGAGAGGAGCCAGUUUGAAUCAGUCAGCUUAGACAGGAGUUUGGGCCAAAACAACUGAGCUGAAUCAGCCAGCCAAGAGUUCAGAAAGAGCUAGAAAGGGUAAGUUUAUUCCAGCAGUAAGCCUCCAAGACAACAAUCACGUCUGAUGAAUAAAAGUUACAUUUACGUUUGGGAUGGGGACUUUAGCAAAAAAUUAAUUUUAGAAGAUUAUGGAAUCAGGUGAUAGAGAGAAGAAGAGAGGAAAAGGGGUAGAAAGGGAAGCAUGGAGUGCCUGCAGACGGUUAAAAGAUUCAUGAGGAGCACGCUGGGGCAGGGUUAGCAAGGAGGAAGGAGAUGCAUUCUUAGAGGAGGUUUUGCCUCUCUCUGAAUCUAGGGACCAGGAAAGAGAGCGCUUCUAGCCCAUGGGGCAGAGCGGCUGCUCUACAAGGGAACAGCAGUGUUGUAUCAGCUCCUGCAAAUGCCCUCAGGCCUGCUCACUAAGGUGGGAUGACUAAGAAGGGUCUUCAGGGCCUGCAGUGUGUGUGUGUGUGUGUGUGUGUGUGUGUGUGUGUGUGUGUGUGUGUGUGUGUGUGUGUACGAGUCACCCCUGUGAGACUCCCCCAGUGCAGCUCACUCUGUGUGUGUGUGUGUGUGUGUGUGUGUGUAUGUGUGAACGAGUCACCCCUGUGAGACUCCCCCAGUGCAGCUCACUCUGUGUGUGUGUGUGUGUGUGUGUGUGUGUGUAUGUGUGAACGAGUCACCCCUGUGAGACUCCCCCAGUGCAGCUCACUCUGUGUGUGUGUGUGUGUGUGUGUGUGUGUGUGUGUAUGUGUGAACGAGUCACCCCUGUGAGACUCCCCCAGUGCAGCUCACUCAACAGGGCUCAGCACCUGGACAAGCUCAAUAAACUCAACCUGGGUUUUACAGGUCAUUCCGCCUCCAGUCUGAAUUUUCAGUAAUAUUUUUAUAAACAUGCCGUGAAGUACGUGGACUAACCCAUCGGUCUCUGGCUCUUCCUGGAAUGCCAAGGUAGAAAUGGGGGCAUUUGUAUUGGUCCCUCAAUUGACAGUGAACUGUCAGAGCCUCAGUGGUUGGUCAGCUUAGCCUACCACAGAGAGUAAGGGACUUCAGCUUUCAGCAAGGCCCACUGGGGAAGGCAUGUCAGACACUGAGGAAACCAGACUGGAUUCUCAGAUCAACAUCACUCAUUUGAAGACUGAAAGUAGGGUGCAGAAAAACCUCAAGCCAACUUCAAGAGGGUCAUGCUGGGACCCAGGUGGGGUAGCUCAGUGGUAAAAUACAUGCCCAUCAUGUGCAAGGUCAUGGGUUCCAUUCCCAGCACUGCAAACAAGAAAGAGGGAAACACAAGAGACAGAGACAGACAGACAGAGAGAGAGAGAGAGAGAGAGAGACUUUUGCAAGGUCCACUCAAGUCCCCUGAGGGGAGAAGACCUUUGGAAAGCUACAGUAAGCAGUGGAGGAGACCAAACCAAGUCAUGAUGGGGCCAGCACCACAAUCAAAUGACCUGCGCUGUCACUCGGGGUCACCCAUACUGAAACUCUAUCCUUUCUCAACAGAACUGAACUUGCAUUGUGCACUGGGUCCCCCAGAUCAGCAUCUGAACCUGGGCUCUGCGCUGCAAGGACAGCUUUCUUGCCCGACAGGCAGCACACAUCCCCCUCCCUCCUUGAAGUGAGCACACAGCUAGCCAGGGGAGGAGCACACCACUCUUAGAUCAUGGGGUCUCAACACGGGGACUGCCACUGUGGCAGAGCUAGCCAUUGCCUCUCUCCUGAAAGUGGGGCUCAGGCUCUGGGGACGGAGGCUGUCAAAGCCUCUGGAGUAACAGGCAGCAAGUGCCACCAGUCAGCCGGAACUGGGAACAACACCCCCGGACCUAGGUAACAAAAGCCAGUUCUGUGAGUUCAAUGAUCAGUAUCAGUAAAACCGCUCAACGGGAACAAAGCAAACACGGUAAUCAUUUAAGGCUCAACCUCCGCCCUUAACCCCUAAAACUCAGAAAGGGCCAAUUCAAGGAUGAGGAGAGAGGGCCUUGGGAUGCAGCUCUGUGGGAAUUUGCUUAGCAUGCACGAGUCCUGGGUUCUCCUCCAAGCACCAAAAACAGGAAAGAGGGAUGCAGAAUUCUCCACCAGCAGCUGGCACAUGCAAUCACACUGGACAAACUGGAGAGGUGUGUUUUGCCCAAGGGGGGACCUCUAGUCAAGUACCAUUCCACCUGCAGACGCAACCACAUACAAACUGGAUAUAAAUCCUGGCCCUUAGGAGGUCAGAUACUGAUGAAAGGGAAGAGAAGAUGGCAGAAUUCGCUAAUUACAGAGCAGGUGCCUCGGUCAAAGGGUACAAUAAUGGCGGCAGGCAGAGGACAGUGCUUGCUGGUCCCACAUGCCACCUGGUCUCAUGUGAGGAUGUCGAUCAUACCCAUUUCCUAGGCAGGAAAACACACCCAAGUUAGGAAGCUGGGUUCCCCUUGGUCUUGAACUGGUGGGAAAUGGGGAUGUUCUAAUCACUGUACGCCCCCUGUGCUCCCCACUAUUAAAAGGUUUGACAAAGUGGUGGCUUUUCAAGAUUCCCCUUGUGCCCCAGAGCUAAGGCUUCAAUGCCAAUAGGCCAAACUCCGACUCCAGCUUUAUCUAUAUCCAUGCAAAGUGCUUUUGCCAGAGGGGUCACCCUCACCAGGGUUUAAAAGGAAGACUCAUUCACUCUCUUCAGUGACAAAGGGAUGGAUGUCAAGUUUGCUUAUAUAGUGGCUACUCCUAGAACCCAGUCAUGUGACACGUUCCCCCUCCCCCCCACACAUGCAACACUCCUCUGGCAAUUCCACAGGGUUGUGCCAUAUGCCACCCAUCCCCUAAUGAUAGUCCAAGUGGCAGGUGGCUAAACACUGGGUACAACCCUCAGCAAGCCGAUGAGUGGCCCUGUAUGUGGUAAAGGUCUGUAGAACGGCGGAGCCUUCCUUCACAGUGAGUCCUAGAGCUCUGCUAUGUCAACGUCUGAAAGAGAAGAAAGACAUGGGCUGGACCCACAGCUCACCCUGCGUGAGGAGAUCGAACGGUGGGGAAUCCAUUCUUACUGGUCUCCAGUGAGCCCCAGCAAGCAAGGACUUUCUCAACUGGCAUUAGUGGGAACCCUGUGGCACCCGGGCACUCAGGGCCUGAGACACAUCCAGAAAGCCCCAAGGCAGUAGCAGCCGAAAGUUGAGCGGUGUGCUCCUUAAAUAUCAAUGCCUUAAACUAGUCAGUAAUAAGCAGGCCCUGACAAGGCUAAAGCUGGCCCCAGCUGUUUUCCUUUUUUUUUUUUUUUCAUCUCACCUGCCCCCAGCCCCCAAACUUCCAACUGGAGCCCAGAUCUGCCCAGCCCUUCCAGCAUGCAGGCGGGGCAUGCAGGCGGGGCAGAGAACUGACAAGAUGAAGUAACCAGAACAGUUACUUCUUUAACAAACUCAAAAUCCCUAGGACUUGCAGAACCGUGUGGGGACAGGAGGGUUGGGACCCUUUCCGGUCAGCCCUGGGAGGUUUGAGGGGGGGGCCUGGAUGUGCCCACUGCCCUUCUUUCUGCAUGGGCACACUGUGGUAAUGGGUGUCCCUAAAACUGGCUCAAAGCCCUCUCGGUUCAAAGCUACCAUGGUCUGUAUGCUUUUGUCUAAGCCCAGGUAUGGACCCCGGGGCUACCUCAAGCAAGCAGGAAGCUGGUUUGCCAGAUAGUACCAGUGCCCAGAGUGAGCUAAAAACCACUUUGGCUGGUUAAGAGGUCUGAAACCAAUGUCCUCUCUGGGCCCUGACCCCAGGUUGCCCAUAUGCCACCACAUGAUCCGAAUCUUGGGCCGUUUUUAGAUUGGUUGUCACUCUGUUCUGCCUCUAUACACAUCAGUAAGAGGGGGAGGAUGAGGGGAAACUGUGACCAAUGGAGGAAUACCCGUUCUCUGGCUGUGGGGAGCGCUCACAGAUCUCCUCAGUCACAGAUGCCCUACUUCUGAGUUCCAUGUGAUGGAGACUGGGUCAGGGGUGCCUUACAAUCCCUGUCUUUCAGGUGGUGACCUUAUUUUUAGUACCAAUUUGCAAGAGGUGAAACCAAUAUUUUGAGCAUGCCCAGACACCUGCUGGGGUUAGCCAGCUGAGCGGUGAGGGGCUGCACCCUAAGCCUUUGCUUCUAACAUUGAGAAUCUACUAAGCAGCUGGGUAGAGAGGUACAGCCAGGCUUCUAAUCCUUUUGCUCCAAAGUAUCCCAACAGCCCAGAGCAUCUCAGAGCGUCUUAUGUCAAGGGAAUGUCUGGUGGGGAGGCCCUUCCCAUGCAGGCUUCCAGAAGGCCUGGCCCUAUACAAUGGUGUUCCAGGAGGCAAAGAACCUUCUGCAGAACCUCGAGAUCCCAGCAUCCUCCUCUUCCCGCACUGUCCCCAUGGCUUGCGGGAACAGGCCUCCACAUCUGGUGGCUGGCUGCACAGAGGGAGUGGUACUGGCCCAAGAAAGAAAAGUACAUUGCAGACAGGAAAAACCAGAAAGGUGGAGCUAUCUAAGUCCUCUGACCCCAGACAUGGAGCUAAAGGAUUGAGAUCUAGCUCGGCUGGGUUUCAAGUUUGCUCCAGGCCAGUACAUCCCAUUCCUGCUGUUUCAGAAUGCCCUGCAGGCGUGCUUACAGGAGUCUCCUCUCAAACUCGGGCAGCAUGUGAAAUAGUUCCAUGUUGAGUCUGCUGUCCCUGCAAGAGGUUUCCAGCCUUGCCAUCAUCUUCAGGGAUCACUGUCUUACACACCGUCUGCCAUCUUUCCGAGAAGAAUCAUAUCAUUUCCCCCUUUCUCUUUUCUUCCUCCAACCCUUCCUGUGCACGCACCCUUGCUCUCUCCCAAGUUCAUGGCCUUCAUUCUUUAAGCAUUGAUAUGUAUGUAUGUAUGUAUGUAUGUAUGUAUGUAUGUAUGUAUGUCAUGCCCAGUCCAUAUAAGUUCCUUGUAUGUAUAAGAUAUAAGAUUUAGGGAUUGGGUCGUGUUGGGUACACUCUGGGGGUUCCCCCCCUGUUUCUCCCGCUCUUGGCACGCCUUAGGUGUCUGUGGUUCUUAUCCUAGGGCUGAGGACUCAGGUGCUCCCUGCUUCCGUGUCAAUGGCUGCUGUCCCCAUUCAGGUCAUGCAGAGGCAGUCAUGUCGAUGAGCCUUUAUGGACAUAGCCUCUCUGACGUUUCUAGGAGGGGAAAUCUCAUAGCAGACUUCCCAGUUUGUCUAUGACAAACUGUCCUGCCCUCUUCUGUUACAGUUGAUAUUUUUGUACUAACCUUACAGUUUAAAGUUGCUAUAUUCAUUAGGAGGUUUGUUUUAGAACUAGGGAUUUUAU